rnacentral:rRNA from 1 species
AACGAACGCUGGCGGCAUGCCUAACACAUGCAAGUCGAACGAGACCUUCGGGUCUAGUGGCGCACGGGUGCGUAACGCGUGGGAAUCUGCCCUUGGGUCCGGAAUAACUCAGAGAAAUUUGAGCUAAUACCGGAUGAUGACGUAAGUCCAAAGAUUUAUCGCCCAGGGAUGAGCCCGCGUAGGAUUAGCUAGUUGGUGAGGUAAAGGCUCACCAAGGCGACGAUCCUUAGCGGUCUGAGAGGAUGAUCAGCCACACUGGGACUGAGACACGGCCCAGGCUCCUACGGGAGGCAGCAGUGGGGAAUAUUGGACAAUGGGCGAAAGCCUGAUCCAGCAAUGCCGCGUGAGUGAUGAAGGCCUUAGGGUUGUAAAGCUCUUUUACCCGGGAUGAUAAUGACGGUACCGGGAGAAUAAGCCCCGCUAACUCCGUGCCAGCAGCCGCCGCCGUAAU